AUGAAAAAUGCUGAUUGUAGCGUGACCAAAAAUCAGUUUGGUUUCAUGCCUGGGAGGUCGACCAUGGAAGCCAUUUUCUUGGUACGACAACUUAUGGAGAGAUAUAGGGAGCAUAAGAAGGACUUGCAUAUGGUGUUCAUUGACUUGGAGAAGGCCUAUGAUAAGAUACCGUGGAAUGUCAUGUGGUGGGCCUUGGAGAAACACAAAGUCCCAGCAAAGUACAUUACCCUCAUCAAGGACAUGUACAAUAAUGUUGUGACAAGUGUUCGAACAAGUGAUGUCGACACCGAUGACUUCCCGAUUAAGAUAGGACUGCAUCAGGGGUCAGCUUUGAGCCCUUAUCUUUUUGCAUUGGUGAUGGAUGAGGUCACAAGGGGUAUACAAGGAGAUAUCCCAUGGUGUAUGCUCUUUGCGGAUGAUGUGGUGCUAGUUGACGAUAGUCGGACGGGGGUAAAUAGGAAGUUAGAGUUAUGA
rnacentral:rRNA from 1 species